UGAGACGUUAUGGAGUGUCUCCGUGGCGUCUCGGCUUCCCGAUAGAGGGCUUAGAGUUGGAUGCAAUGUUUUAAAAUAAAGGGAUAAUUGAAAAGGUUUUUUGCUUUUAAUGGAUCCAACUUUGUUUUAGGAGUCACCGUUGUCGUUUCAGUUUUUAUUCCACUGCCUCCUCAUGAUUAUGUUGUCUAUGCUCCUGUGGCUGGACCAAGAACGUCAUUGUUGGUGGAAAAGAGGUUAGGCCAGGAGGUAUAUCCGGAGUUUUCUGAGGUUCUUCAGGUGAAAUGCAGCAUUCAGCGUGAUAAAGGUUAGAUCGCAUCCCAUCGCGACAGCUUCGAGGGCUCGGACUAUUUUUGGAAAUCAUAUGAAUAUGGUGCACGCUGGUUGGUUUCGAGUCAUUUAAGUGUGCUCGCAGGAUAAAUACUCCUCCACUGUGGGUUGGUUUGCUCCAUCUAUCUGUAUCCGUGGGGGUUUUUGUGCGUUC
ensembl:lncRNA